UGGCAGUGAUGACAAUCUUAGGACACCUUUGGAACAACCAUGAUAAAACUUCGUUUCUCUGAGCCAU